GACAGAGGUGCCGAGCGUUUAGGCGGAAUCACUGGGCUUAAAGCGUGUGUAGGCGGAUCUGUAAGUACCUUGUGAAAUCCCACGGCUCAACCGUGGAACUGCUUGGUAUACUGCGGGUCUUGAGCCACCUAGGGGCAAGUGGAACAAACGGUGGAGCGGUGAAAUGCGUAGAUAUCGUUUGGAACGCCAAUGGUGAAAACAACUUGCUGGGGGUGUGCUGACGCUGGAGACACGAAAGCCAGGGGAGCAAACGGG
rnacentral:rRNA from 1 species